rnacentral:ncRNA from 1 species
CACCGCCCGUCGCUCCUACCGAUUGAAUGGUCCGGUGAAGUGUUCGGAUCGCGGCGACGUGGGCGGUUCGCUGCCCGCGACGUCGCGAGAAGUCCACUGAACCUUAUCAUUUAGAGGAAGGAGAAGUCGUAACAAGGUUUCCGUAGGCUUUUUGAUCCUUUGAUG